AUUGAACGCUGGCGGCAGGCCUAACACAUGCAAGUCGAGCGGAUGAAGGGAGCUUGCUCCUGGAUUCAGCGGCGGACGGGUGAGUAAUGCCUAGGAAUCUGCCUGGUCGUGGGGGAUAACGUCCGGAAACGGGCGCUAAUACCGCAUACGUCCUGAGGGAGAAAGUGGGGGAUCUUCGGACCUCACGCUAUCAGAUGAGCCUAGGUCGGAUUAGCUAGUUGGUGGGGUAAAGGCCUACCAAGGCGACGAUCCGUAACUGGUCUGAGAGGAUGAUCAGUCACACUGGAACUGAGACACGGUCCAGACUCCUACGGUAGGCAGCAGUGGGGAAUAUUGGACAAUGGGCGAAAGCCUGAUCCAGCCAUGCCGCGUGUGUGAAGAAGGUCUUCGGAUUGUAAAGCACUUUAAGUUGGGAGGAAGGGCAGUAAGUUAAUACCUUGCUGUUUUGACGUUACCAACAGAAUAAGCACCGGCUAACUUCGUG
rnacentral:rRNA from 1 species